rnacentral:rRNA from 1 species
AGAGUUUGAUCCUGGCUCAGGACGAACGCUGGCGGCGUGCCUAAUACAUGCAAGUCGAGCGGAUGACAGAGGAGCUUGCUCCUCUAGAUUCAGCGGCGGACGGGUGAGUAACACGUGGGCAACCUGCCCUGUAGAUUGGGAUAACUCCGGGAAACCGGGGCUAAUACCGAAUAAUCCUUCGGACCUCAUGGUCCGAUGUUGAAAGGCGGCUUCGGCUGUCACUACAGGAUGGGCCCGCGGCGCAUUAGCUAGUUGGUGAGGUAACGGCUCACCAAGGCCACGAUGCGUAGCCGACCUGAGAGGGUGAUCGGCCACACUGGGACUGAGACACGGCCUCGACUCCUACGGGAGGCAGCAGCGAGGAAUCUUGCGCAAUGGGCGAAAGCCUGACGCAGCAACGCCGCGUGGGCGAUGAAGGCCCUCGGGUCGUAAAGCCCUUUUGCGGGGGAAGAAGUUCUGACGGUACCCCGCGAACAAGCCACGGCUAACUACGUGCCAGCAGCCGCGGUAA